UUGGAGGGCAAGUCUGGUGCCAGCAGCCGCGGUAAUUCCAGCUCCAAUAGCGUAUAUUAAAGUUGUUGCAGUUAAAAAGCUCGUAGUUGAAUUUCGGGGUCAGUAGGUUGGUCGUGCCAAUGGUACGUACUGGCUUCACUGAUUCCUCCUUCUUGUAGAACUGUGAUGUCAUUAAUUUGGUUGUUGCAGGGAAACAGGACUGUUACUUUGAAAAAAUUAGAGUGUUUAAAGCAGGCUAACGCUUGAAUACAUUAGCAUGGAAUAAUGAAAUAGGACGUUUCGAUUCUAUUUUGUUGGUUUCUAGGAUUGACGUAAUGAUUAAUAGGGAUAGUUGGGGGCAUUAGUAUUCAAUUGUCAGAGGUGAAAUUCUUGGAUUUAUUGAAGACUAACUACUGCGAAAGCAUUUGCCAAGGAUGUUUUCAUUAAUCAAGAACGAAAGUUAGGGGAUCGAAGACGAUCAGAUACCGUCGUAGUCUUAACCAUAAACUAUGCCGACUAGGGAUCGGAUGAUGUUAAUUUUUUUAAUGACUCAUUCGGCGCCUUACGGGAAAC
rnacentral:rRNA from 1 species